GGCACUGUGGUAGAGUGGUUAAUACGUUGCACUGCUACCGUCAUAUAGUUCAUGCAUAUGCAAUUCCUUCGGGAGCCAGGGUUCGAAUCCCUGCGGUGUCG